UACGGAGGGUGCAAGCGUUACUCGGAAUCACUGGGCGUAAAGAGCGUGUAGGCGGAUUGAUAAGUUUGAAGUGAAAUCCUAUAGCUUAACUAUAGAACUGCUUUGAAAACUGUUAAUCUAGAAUGUGGGAGAGGUAGAUGGAAUUUCUGGUGUAGGGGUAAAAUCCGUAGAGAUCAGAAGGAAUACCGAUUGCGAAGGCGAUCUACUGGAACAAUAUUGACGCUGAGACGCGAAAGCGUGGGGAGCAAACAGG
rnacentral:rRNA from 4 species